UAAUACGGAGGGUGCAAGCGCUCUGUUCGGGAAUUAUUGGGCGUAAAGCGCGUGUAGGCGGUCUUUUAAGUGAUGAUGUGCAAGCCCCGGGCUCAACCUGGGAAGUGCAUUGGAAACUGGGAGGCUUGAGUACGGGAGAGGAGAGUGGAAUUCCUAGUGUAGGAGUGUAAAUCCGUAGAUAUUAGGAGGAACACCGGUGGCGAAGGCGGCUCUCUGGACCGAUACUGACGCUGAGACGCGAAAGCGUGGGUAGCGAAACAGGAUUAGAUACCCUGGUAGUCCACGCCGUAAACGAUGAGUACUAGGUGUUGCGGGUAUUGACCCCUGCAGUGCCGUAGCUAAAGCAUUAAGUACUCCGCGCUGGG
rnacentral:rRNA from 1 species